rnacentral:rRNA from 1 species
UGGGGAAUUUUGCACAAUGGGCGAAAGCCUGAUGCAGCGACGCCGCGUGAAGGACGACGGUCUUCGGAUUGUAAACUUCUGUUAAGUGGGAAGAAAUCUUCAUAAGUAAUACAUAUGAAGGAUGACGGUACCAUUAGAGAAAGCUCCGGCUAACUUCGUGCCAGCAGCCGCGGUAAUACGAAGGGAGCAAGCGUUAUUCGGAAUUACUGGGCGUAAAGAGCGUACAGGUGGUUGAUUAAGUCAGUUGUCAAAUCCCUUGGCUUAACCAAGGAUCGGCGGUUGAUACUGAUCGACUAGAGGGCAAGAGAGAGAAGUGGAAUUCUCGGAGUAGCGGUAAAAUGCAUAGAUCUCGAGAGGAACACCAGUUGCGAAGGCGGCUUCUUGGCUUGUACCUGACACUAAAGCGCGAAAGCGUGGGGAGCAAACA